rnacentral:rRNA from 1 species
UGGGCGUUAAGUUGCAGGGUAUAGACCCGAAACCCGGUGAUCUAGCCAUGGGCAGGUUGAAGGUUGGGUAACACUAACUGGAGGACCGAACCGACUAAUGUUGAAAAAUUAGCGGAUGACCUGUGGCUGGGGGUGAAAGGCCAAUCAAACCGGGAGAUAGCUGGUUCUCCCCGAAAGCUAUUUAGGUAGCGCCUCGUGAAUUCAUCUCCGGGGGUAGAGCACUGUUUCGGCUAGGGGGCCAUCCCGGCUUACCAACCCGAUGCAAACUGCGAAUACCGGAGAAUGUUAUCACGGGAGACACACGGCGGGUGCUAACGUCCGUCGUGAAGAGGGAAACAACCCAGACCGCCAGCUAAGGUCCCAAAGUCAUGGUUAAGUGGGAAACGAUGUGGGAAGGCCCAGACAGCCAGGAUGUUGGCUUAGAAGCAGCCAUCAUUUAAAGAAAGCGUAAUAGCUCACUGGUCGAGUCGGCCUGCGCGGAAGAUGUAACGGGGCUAAACCAUGCACCGAAGCUGCGGCAGCGACGCUGAUGCGUUGUUGGGUAGGGGAGCGUUCUGUAAGCCUGCGAAGGUGGCCUGUGA